rnacentral:rRNA from 1 species
GAUGAACGCUAGCGGCAGGCUUAACACAUGCAAGUCGAGGGGUAACAGGGAAGAGCUUGCUUUUCUGCUGACGACCGGCGCACGGGUGCGUAACGCGUAUAGAACCUACCUUUUACAGGGGAAUAGCCCAGAGAAAUUUGGAUUAAUGCCCCAUAGUAUUAUUGAAUGGCAUCAUUUAAUAAUUAAACAUUUAUGGGUAAAAGAUGGCUAUGCGUUCUAUUAGCUAGAUGGUAAGGUAACGGCUUACCAUGGCAACGAUAGAUAGGGGUCCUGAGAGGGAGAUCCCCCACACUGGUACUGAGACACGGACCAGACUCCUACGGGAGGCAGCAGUGAGGAAUAUUGGACAAUGGAGGCAACUCUGAUCCAGCCAUGCCGCGUGCAGGAAGACGGUCCUAUGGAUUGUAAACUGCUUUUAUAUAGGAAGAAACCUUUCCACGUGUGGAAAGCUGACGGUACUAUAAGAAUAAGCACCGGCUAACUCCGUGCCAGCAGCCGCGGUAAUACGGAGGGUGCAAGCGUUAUCCGGAAUCAUUGGGUUUAAAGGGUCCGUAGGCGGACUAAUAAGUCAGGGGUGAAAUCCAACAGCUUAACUGUUGAACUGCCUUUGAUACUGUUAGUCUUGAGUUAUAUGGAAGUAGAUAGAAUAUGUAGUGUAGCGGU